GUCCCCGUCAAUCUCUCCGUUCCCCUGAAUCACAGACCCAAGAUAUCGGACACUGUCCCUCUUGGCGAUGGCCUGAGAACCAAGCAUCACAUCCCUGAGAAUCAAGCUAUAUAUACUUUUCUUUUGCUUAAAUGAUGACAGCUAAUUCAACUAUGUACAAUCUUUAGAACCCAAAGGAAGUAAAAAUCAACAAAGAAGAAGAACUUUAAUCUAUGAGAUAGUGAUACACUUUAGGAAUUGAAUGCCAC
rnacentral:lncRNA from 1 species